rnacentral:rRNA from 1 species
GACGAACGCUGGCGGCGUGCUUAACACAUGCAAGUCGAACGGAAAGACCCUGCUUUUGUGGGGUGCUCGAGUGGCGAACGGGUGAGUAACACGUGAGUAACCUGCCCUUGACUUUGGGAUAACUUCAGGAAACUGGGGCUAAUACCGGAUAGGAGCUCCUGCUGCAUGGUGGGGGUUGGAAAGUUUCGGCGGUUGGGGAUGGACUCGCGGCUUAUCAGCUUGUUGGUGGGGUAGUGGCUUACCAAGGCUUUGACGGGUAGCCGGCCUGGGAGGGGGACCGGCCACAUUGGGACUGAGAUACGGCCCAGACUCCUACGGGAGGCAGCAGUGGGGAAUAUUGCACAAUGGGCGGAAGCCUGAUGCAGCAACGCCGCGUGCGGGAUGACGGCCUUCGGGUUGUAAACCGCUUUCGCCUGUGACGAAGCGUGAGUGACGGUAAUGGGUAAAGAAGCACCGGCUAACUACGUG